ensembl:ncRNA Y54G2A.68 ncRNA
AAUGGAAAGAGUGGGGGGAAAACGAGGGGACUCUCUCCUUUCUCGUAUGUGCCCCACCACACCACUCAGCCUGUCUAUUUCGCCCCCCGGAGGCCACCGCCGCCGCCGCACUCGUUGUCGUCGUCGUCGUUGUCGUCUUCGUCGUUGUG